rnacentral:misc_RNA from 1 species
UGUCAUCGUUAUUAAUUAAAACUAGAAAAAAAAAAAAAGAAAGGAAAAGGAAAUAAAGGAUAAUAACUAUGGGCCUGACUGCAUGUGAGUUUGGAAGAAGUCUUGAAAAAUGAAUAAGAGUCUUUGGUAUUAAAGUCAAACUUCAAACUGUGUUUGGUGAAGGACAUGAUGGGAAAAGACAAAGGAUAGUAACUAAUGGUUACAUAAGGGUACUCCUAAUGGGAAUGGCUACUGGUGGCAUAAUCUCCAUCAUUCUCCUCUUCAGUUAUUGCAUGUAUUUUCUGUUUGGUUGUGUGUCUAAAACAACUUAUUAUGGUGAUUGGAAAGUUUUUCUAUCAUAGUUCUAGUGCUGAUGGUUUAACCAUGUUGGUGAGUAAUAAUGUUCUGCUAAGAAUGCAGCAGGCUUUGUCCUAUUGAACCUUGUAGGGGUUGACUAGAAUUCUUGGGCCCAAUAAAGGUUUCUUAUUUGCCUCACUAUUAAUAUGGUUAUGAAAGUUUUCCUUGCAAGCUAUAUGCUUCUGUUUCAAUCGCCUAAUUUUCCCAUUCUCAAAUUUCUGCAGGGCAAGUUGUCUGCCACUGG